AACUCAUGGUGAGGACAUGAACGGAUCAUCUCCUUAAACCGCUCCCAAGCUUCCGCAAGUGUCUCGUCCCUCUCUUGCUCAAAUGAGGAGAUCUUCCUCCUUAUGUU
rnacentral:snoRNA from 1 species